rnacentral:lncRNA from 1 species
CCUACAUACUGUAUCCACUUGAGAGUCAGGGUUCUUAUAUCAGAAAAUACCUCAGCUAAUGUAUUGCUUCCAUAGGUACAUUACUUAAUGAUUCUGUUUUCCUUUCUCAAAUUCUACCAAAUAAAUUCAUUUACUCAAAAUACUAGUCAAGAAGAAUAUUUGUCAUUGUAUCUUUCCUUUCUCACAUGAUCAGAAAUGCUAUGAAUGUGAUGCUGCUUGUUGAAGAAUUGUUUAGGACAGACGCAGUCUCCAAAUUAACAGAUCCAGCAAGUCACUUUAAAAGUUAUGAGGCUGUGCCCUUCCAUAUCUCCUCGUGUGCAUGAGUGCUACCAGAAGAAUGUGCCUAGCACCGAAGGACAGGUGACGUGUGACAGUUGAGAGAAGGCUGAGAACUUUAAAGAAAAAACAAACAAAAUGCCAACAAGACAGAAAAGCCAACACUCUGCCAAGGCUGGCUGUAGGAAAGGAUGGCAAUCAUGCAGAAGCAGAGAUGAAAGUCUCAAAAUAAAAGAACGCUGAAAGAGACA